ACGGGUGAGUAACACGUGGGCAACCUGCCCUUGAGACUGGGAUAACUUCGGGAAACCGGAGCUAAUACCGGAUAAUAUAAGGAACCUCCUGGUUCCUUGUUGAAAGAUGGUUUCGGCUAUCACUUAAGGAUGGGCCCGCGGCGCAUUAGCUAGUUGGUGAGGUAACGGCUCACCAAGGCGACGAUGCGUAGCCGACCUGAGAGGGUGAUCGGCCACACUGGGACUGAGACACGGCCCAGACUCCUACGGGAGGCAGCAGUAGGGAAUCUUCCACAAUGGACGAAAGUCUGAUGGAGCAACGCCGCGUGAGUGAUGAAGGCCUUCGGGUCGUAAAGCUCUGUUGUUAGGGAAGAACAAGUGCGAGAGUAACUGCUCGCACCUUGACGGUACCUAACCAGAAAGCCACGGCUAACUACGUGCCAGCAGCCGCGGUAAUACGUAGGUGGCAAGCGUUAUCCGGAAUUAUUGGGCGUAAAGCGCGCGCAGGUGGUUUCUUAAGUCUGAUGUGAAAGCCCACGGCUCAACCGUGGAGGGUCAUUGAAAACUGGGGAACUUGAGUGCAGAAGAGGAAAGUGGAAUU
rnacentral:rRNA from 1 species